rnacentral:rRNA from 1 species
UAGCGGCGGACGGGUGAGUACACGUGGAUAACCUACCUAUAAGACUGGGAUAACUUCGGGAAACCGGAGCUAAUACCGGAUAAUAUUUUGAACCGCAUGGUUCAAAAGUGAAAGACGGUCUUGCUGUCACUUAUAGAUGGAUCCGCGCUGCAUUAGCUGGUUGGUAAGGUAACGGCUUACCAAGGCAACGAUGCAUAGCCGACCUGAGAGGGUGAUCGGCCACACUGGAACUGAGACACGGUCCAGACUCCUACGGGAGGCAGCAGUAGGGAAUCUUCCGCAAUGGGCGAAAGCCUGACGGAGCAACGCCGCGUGAGUGAUGAAGGUCUUCGGAUCGUAAAACUCUGUUAUUAGGGAAGAACAUAUGUGUAAGUAACUGUGCACAUCUUGACGGUACCUAAUCAGAAAGCCACGGCUAACUACGUGCCAGCAGCCGCGGUAAUACGUAGGUGGCAAGCGUUAUCCGGAAUUAUUGGGCGUAAAGCGCGCGUAGGCGGUUUUUUAAGUCUGAUGUGAAAGCCCACGGCUCAACCGUGGAGGGUCAUUGGAAACUGGAAAACUUGAGUGCAGAAGAGGAAAGUGGAUUCCAUGUGUAGCGGUGAAAUGCGCAGAGAUAUGGA